GGGCAGGCUUAACACAUGCAAGUCGAGGGGUAUGCCGAUUUAUCGGCAGAGACCGGCGCACGGGUGCGUAACGCGUAUGCAAUCUACCUUUCACAGAGGGAUAGCCCAGAGAAAUUUGGAUUAAUACCUCAUAGUAUAGCAGUUUCGCAUGAAACCACUAUUAAAGUUCCAACGGUGAAAGAUGAGCAUGCGUCCCAUUAGCUAGAUGGUAAGGUAACGGCUUACCAUGGCUACGAUGGGUAGGGGGUCCUGAGAGGGAGAUCCCCCACACUGGUACUGAGACACGGACCAGACUCCUACGGGAGGCAGCAGUGAGGAAUAUUGGUCAAUGGACGCAAGUCUGAACCAGCCAUGCCGCGUGCAGGAUGACGGUCCUAUGGAUUGUAAACUGCUUUUGUACGAGAAGAAACAACAUUACGUGUAAUGUCUUGACGGUAUCGUAAGAAUAAGGAUCGGCUAACUCCGUG
rnacentral:rRNA from 1 species